GACGAACGCUGGCGGCGUGCUUAACACAUGCAAGUCGAACGGUGAUCUUGAGAGCUUGCUCUUGGGUGAUCAGUGGCGAACGGGUGAGUAACACGUGGGUAACCUGCCUGUAAGACUGGGAUAACUUCGGGAAACCGGAGCUAAUACCGGAUACUUUCUUUUCUCGCAUGAGGGAAGAUGGAAAGAUGGUUCUGCUAUCACUUACAGAUGGACCCGCGGCGCAUUAGCUAGUUGGUGAGGUAACGGCUCACCAAGGCAACGAUGCGUAGCCGACGUGAGAGGGUGAUCGGCCACACUGGGACUGAGACACGGCCCAGACUCCUACGGGAGGCAGCAGUAGGGAAUCUUCCGCAAUGGACGAAAGUCUGACGGAGCAACGCCGCGUGAGCGAAGAAGGCCUUCGGGUCGUAAAGCUCUGUUGUUAGGGAAGAACAAGUACGAGAGUAACUGCUCGUACCUUGACGGUACCUAACCAGAAAGCCACGGCUAACUACGUGCCAGCCGCCGCGGUAAAAC
rnacentral:rRNA from 1 species